GAAUAUUGGACAAUGGGCGCAAGCCUGAUCCAGCCAUGCCGCGUGUGUGAAGAAGGCCUUCGGGUUGUAAAGCACUUUUGUUGGGGAAGAAAAGCUACCGGGUAAUACCCGGGAGUUCUGACGGUACCCAAAGAAUAAGCACCGGCUACCUUCGUGCCAGCAGCCGCGGUAAUCCGAAGGGGGCAAGCGUUACGCGGAAUUACUGGGCGUAAAGCGUGCGUAGGUGGUGAGUUAAGUCUGUCGUGAAAGCCCCGGGCUCAACCUGGGAAUGGCGAUGGAUACUGGCUCGCUAGAGUGCGGUAGAGGAGAGUGGAAUUCCCGGUGUAGCAGUGAAAUGCGUAGAGAUCGGGAGGAACAUCAGUUGCGAAGGCGGCUCUCUGGACCAGCACUGACACUGAGGCACGAAAGCGUGGGGAGCAAACAGG
rnacentral:rRNA from 1 species